rnacentral:rRNA from 1 species
UAGGAAGGCAGCAGUGGGGAAUAUUGCACAAUGGGCGAAAGCCUGAUGCAGCUAUGCCGCGUGUAUGAAGAAGGCCUUAGGGUUGUAAAGUACUUUCAUCGGGGAGGAAAAAACAAAACUAAUAAUUUUAUUUCUUGACGUUACCCGAAAAAGAAGCACCGGCUAACUCCGUGCCAGCAGCCGCGGUAAUACGGAGGGUGCUAGCGUUAAUCAGAAUUACUGGGCGUAAAGAGCACGUAGGUGGUUUUUUUAAGUCAGAUGUGAAAUCCCUGGGCUUAACCUAGGAACUGCAUUUUGAAACUGAAAUACUAGAGUAUCGUAGAGGGAGGUAGAAUUCUAGGUGUAGCGGUGAAAUGCGUAGAUAUCUGGAGGAAUACCUGUGGCGAAAGCGGCCUCCUAAACGAAUACUGACACUGAGGUGCGAAAGCGUGGGGAGCAAACAGGGAUUAGAUACC